rnacentral:rRNA from 1 species
CCUACGGGAGGCAGCAGUGAGGAAUAUUGGUCAAUGGACGAGAGUCUGAACCAACCAAGUAGCGUGAAGGAUGACUGCCCUAUGGGUUGUAAACUUCUUUUAUAUGGGAAUAAAACAGGGUAUGUAUACCCUCUGGUAUGUACCAUAUGAAUAAGGAUCGGCUAACUCCGUGCCAGAAGCCGCGGUAAUACGGAGGAUCCGAGCGUUAUCCGGAUUUAUUGGGUUUAAUGGGAGCGUAGGUGGAUUGUUAAGUCAGUUGUGAAAGUUUGCGGCUCAACCGUAAAAUUGCAGUUGAAACUGGCAGUCUGGAGUACAGUAGAGGUGGGCGGAAUUCGUGGUGUAGCGGUGAAAUGCUUAGAUAUCACGAAGAACUCCGAUUGCGAAGGCAGCUCACUGGACUGCAACUGACACUGAUGCUCGAAAGUGUGGGUAUCAAACAGGAUUAGAUACCCUGGUAGUC